UACGAAGGGGGGCUAGCGUUGCUCGGAAUCACUGGGCGUAAAGCGCACGUAGGCGGACUCUUAAGUCAGGGGUGAAAUCCUGGAGCUCAACUCCAGAACUGCCUUUGAUACUGAGAGCCUUGAGUCCGGAAGAGGUAAGUGGAACUGCGAGUGUAGAGGUGAAAUUCGUAGAUAUUCGCAAGAACACCAGUGGCGAAGGCGGCUUACUGGUCCGGUACUGACGCUGAGGUGCGAAAGCGUGGGGAGCAAACAGG
rnacentral:rRNA from 1 species